rnacentral:rRNA from 1 species
AUUGAACGCUGGCGGCAUGCUUUACACAUGCAAGUCGAACGGCAGCGCGGGCUUCGGCCUGGCGGCGAGUGGCGAACGGGUGAGUAAUGCAUCGGAACGUGCCCAGUAGUGGGGGAUAGCCCGGCGAAAGCCGGAUUAAUACCGCAUACGACCUGAGGGUGAAAGCGGGGGACCGAAAGGCCUCGCGCUAUUGGAGCGGCCGAUGUCAGAUUAGCUAGUUGGUGGGGUAAAGGCUUACCAAGGCGACGAUCCGUAGCUGGUCUGAGAGGACGACCAGCCACACUGGGACUGAGACACGGCCCAGACUCCUAAGGGAGGCAGCAGUGGGGAAUUUUGGACAAUGGGGGCAACCCUGAUCCAGCCAUGCCGCGUGCGGGAAGAAGGCCUUCGGGUUGUAAACCGCUUUUGUUCGGGAAGAAAUCCUCUGGGCUAAUACCCCGGGGGGAUGACGGUACCGGAAGAAUAAGCACCGGCUAACUACGUG